CAACCCUCAGGGACCCCUUCCGGGGGGGACCUGGUGUUGGGGUCCGGCCGCCCGCGCCGCCCCCGAAAUGCAGUGGCGACCUCGCCGCAGCCUCCCCUGCGUAGUAGCACAACCUCGCACCGGAGCGCGGAGACGGUCACGCCGUAAAACGCCCAACUUUUUCAAG
rnacentral:misc_RNA from 1 species